CCUACGGGUGGCAGCAGUGGGGAAUAUUGCGCAAUGGGGGCAACCCUGACGCAGCAACGCCGCGUGAUUGAUGAAGGCCUUCGGGUUGUAAAGAUCUGUAAUCGGGGACGAAUUUUGACUGUACUCGUAGAAUAAGCUCCGGCUAACUACGUGCCAGCAGCCCCGGUAAUACGGAGGGAGCAAGCGUUAUUCGGAUUUACUGGGUGUAAAGUGCGUGUAGGCGGGCAUGCAAGCCAGAAGUGAAAUCUUGGGGCUUAACCCCCAAACUGCCUUUGGAACUGGGAGACUUGAGUGAUGGAGAGGAUGGCGGAAUUCCCAGUGUAGCGGUGAAAUGCGUAGAUAUUGGGAGGAACACCAGUGGCGAAGGCGACCAGCUGGAAAUUAACUGACGCUGAGGCGCGAAAGCGUGGGGAGCAAACAGGAUUAGAUACCCCUGUAGUC
rnacentral:rRNA from 1 species